AUGCUCACUUCAGCAGCACAUGUACUAAAGUUGGAAUGAUGCAGAGAAGAUUAGCACAGCCCCUGUGCAAGGGUGACACGCAAAUUCAUGAAGCAUUUCUUUUUUUU